rnacentral:sRNA from 1 species
AAUUAUUUUAACCAAAACUAAAACUUUCACUAAAACAUUUAAAUAAAUAAUUUUUUAAAGGUUUUUUAUAAAUACUAAAUUAAUAUGACGUUGUGAAAUCUAACCGGAUUUUUGAUCCCGCCAUUUAACCGUGGUCAUUAGCGAUUCCAUAAAUCCAACAUAUUUUUCACAUCUUCAUGUAUAUUUAGCAUUUAUUUUUUGUUUUCUUUUCUUAAAAGUUUUUCAAAUUUUUUUUGAUUUUUUUAAAAGUU